AUUGAACGCUGGCGGCGUGCUUAACACAUGCAAGUCGAGCGGCAGCGCGGGAGCAAUCCUGGCGGCGAGCGGCGAACGGGUGAGUAAUGCUUCGGAAUCUGCCCUUCAGUGGGGAAUAACCAGUCGAAAGACUGGCUAAUACCGCAUACGAACUGAGGUUGAAAGCAGGGGAUCGCAAGACCUUGCGCUGAUGGAUGAGCCGAAGUCGGAUUAGCUUGUUGGUGGGGUAAUGGCCUACCAAGGCGACGAUCCGUAGCUGGUCUGAGAGGACGACCAGCCACACUUGGGACUGAGACACGGCCCAGACUUCCUACGGGAGGCAGCAGUGGGGAAUAUUGGACAAUGGGGGCAACCCUGAUCCAGCGACGCCGCGUGUGUAGAAGAAGGCCUGCGGGUUGUAAAGCACUUUUAGUGGGGAGGAAGGUCUGCGACCUAACACGUCGUGGAAUUGACUUAACCCACAGAAAAGCACCGGUCUAACUCUGUGCC
rnacentral:rRNA from 1 species